rnacentral:rRNA from 1 species
AUUUGAUCCUGGGUCACGGAGAACGCUGGCGGCGCGCCUCACACAUGCGAGUCGAGCGAUCGGAUCCCGAGAAAAGCCUUCGGGUGGAUCUUGGGAUUACGGAGCGGCGAACGGGUGAGUAACACGUGGGUAAUCUGUCCUGAAGUUCGGAAUAACCCUGGGAAACCGGGGCUAAUGCCGAAUAUCGGCAUACAACCGCAUGGUUAGAUGACCAAAGAUUUAUCGCUUCAGGAGGAGCCCGCGACCUAUCAGCUAGUUGGUGGGGUAAAGGGCUACCAAGGCACAGACGGGUAGCCGGCCUGAGAGGGUGAACGGUCACACCGGGCCUGAAACACGGCCCGGACUCCUACGGGAGGCAGCAAUUAGGAAUCUUGCAAAAUGGGCGAAAGCCUGAUGCACCGAUGCCGCGUGAGGGACGAARGCCUUAUGGUCUUCAACCUCUUUCAGUAGGGACGAAGUCACAAAUUAUGCGUGAUGAC